rnacentral:rRNA from 1 species
UACGUAGGGUGCAAGCGUUGUCCGGAAUUAUUGGGCGUAAAGGGCGCGUAGGCGGCCUGACAAGUGGAUGGUGAAAUCCCUCGGCUUAACCGAGGAACUGCCAUCCAGACUGUUUGGCUUGAGACCGGGAGAGGUGAGUGGAAUUCCCAGUGUAGCGGUGAAAUGCGUAGAUAUUGGGAGGAACACCAGUGGCGAAGGCGGCUCACUGGACCGGUACUGACGCUGAUGCGCGAAAAGCGUGGGGAGCAAACGGG